rnacentral:rRNA from 1 species
UACACUCCUACGGGAGGCAGCAGUGGGGAAUAUUGGCCAAUGGGCGCAAGCCUGAUCCAGCCAUGCCGCGUGAGUGAUGAAGGCCCUAGGGUUGUAAAGCUCUUUCACCGGUGAAGAUAAUGACGGUAACCGGAGAAGAAGCCCCGGCUAACUUCGUGCCAGCAGCCGCGGUAAUACGAAGGGGGCUAGCGUUGUUCGGAUUUACUGGGCGUAAAGCGCACGUAGGCGGACUAUUAAGUCAGGGGUGAAAUCCCGGGGCUCAACCCCGGAACUGCCUUUGAUACUGGUAGUCUUGAGUUCGAGAGAGGUGAGUGGAAUUCCGAGUGUAGAGGUGAAAUUCGUAGAUAUUCGGAGGAACACCAGUGGCGAAGGCGGCUCACUGGCUCGAUACUGACGCUGAGGUGCGAAAGCGUGGGGAGCAAACAGGAUUAGAAACCCCUGUAGUCCCAUGA